CUGACUGCUAUCGGAUUGAUACUAAGCCAUGCGAGUCAUUGUAGUAAUACAAGGCAGACGGCUCAGUAACGCGUAGUCAACCUAACCUAUGGACGGGAAUAACCUCGGGAAACUGAGUAUAAUGCCCGAUAGAACAUUAUGCCUGGAAUGGCUUAUGUUCCAAAUGAUUUAUCGCCGUAGGAUGGGACUGCGGCCUAUCAGUUUGUUGGUGAGGUAAUGGCCCACCAAGACUAUUACAGGUACGGGCUCUGAGAGGAGUAGCCCGGAGAUGGGUACUGAGACACGGACCCAGGCCCUAUGGGGCGCAGCAGGCGAGAAAACUUUGCAAUGUGCGAAAGCACGACAAGGUUAAUCCGAGUGGUUUCUGCUAAAGGAACCUUUUGUCGGUCCUAGAAACACUGAUGAAUAAGGGGUGGGCAAGUUCUGGUGUCAGCCGCCGCGGUAAAACCAGCACCUCAAGUGGUCAGGAUGAUUAUUGGGCCUAAAGCAUCCGUAGCCGGCUCUAUUAGUUUUCGGUUAAAUCUGUACGCUUAACGUACAGGCUGCCGGGAAUACUGUAGAGCUAGGGAGUGGGAGAGGUAGACGGUACUCGUAGGAAGGGGUAAAAUCCUUUG
rnacentral:rRNA from 1 species